AGGAUACCUUGCAUGGUGCUUAAAGACCAUUCAAAGAAAAACUGCAGAGGAAAGAAGUGCCUCAGGUAGCAAAUCUCCCAAAAGUAAGUUUUCUCAAUAGUGAGUAUAUGUAAAGUAAUGUAAAAUAUGUGGCUGAGAAAAACAUUCUUUUUAAGGUGGUGGACCAGGCCAUGGUCACUCCAGGGUUUUCACUGCUGACAAAGUGCUGUCAGAUGAGGAAGUGGAAGCUGCUAUUGCUGUUUUGAAACACUCUGCUGAUGAUGACACGGUCCGUAAGAAGAUGAAGGCUACCUUCCAUUACAGUCAUUCAAUGGUCAAUGAUGAAAAGAAAGCAGAGAAUGUCUUCUGUCUUUCCACGGUUUCUGGACACACCAGGACUGGUAGAACAAGAUUUCAGACUCCUGUUUGGUGAAGGCACUGCCAACACAUUUUUGGAGAAGUGGCCCACCAGUCUCAAAUCCAAGGUCAUAAAGGAAAGCCAUGGCCUGGAACCCAGCACUGAGCUCUUGGAUUUAUUGGGGAAUGCAGAGUUGGCUAUGUUGGUCUUCCAGGUAAUUGUGACAAAUUCAUAUGUUAGUGGGAUGAUGGUAACCUGAAGCUGUUGCUCUGUAGGUUGGGAUAGUGACAUGUCUGCUAUGUUGCAUCUGCUACCAGCAUCUGCACAAGGACAAAGGAGGCCGGGUAAGAUGUCUGCAUCUCAAGCAGUGGAUCACCUCAUCAGAUUUCUAAAGGUUGGAACCAGUGUGCAGCAGCAUCUUGACAAAAUUAAGCAACAAAUCCAGCCCUACCUCCUGGCCCAGGGAUCCAUCCAAAGCAGUAUUCAUGCAUUCUUCAUUGUGAUUGACAACCAUGCUAUUCCAUGUAAGGCAACAUGUUCAGUUGGAGCUCUUGAUGAGCUCUUUAAGGCCCAUUAUGUGUUUGGUACGUCAUACAGUGCUCCCUUGACCAACUUCAUCACCUUUCUCCAAACAACCGUUUACAACAUAGAUGUUGGAGAAACAAAGGAAACACCCAGAGUUGCAGAGUUGAGAGCAAGAAUGCUCCAUUAGUGUGACAUCAAACAAUGAAGUGUUUUAUCUGCAAAUGUGACAGUGAUGCACCAAACAGCCUUGUUUAGCACCUUAAACUAAUCCGUAGUCUUUGUUCUGGUUCUGGUUUUAGAAAGCAUGUAAAUAGAUGUCAUGUUAGUGGUUCAUUUGAAUCUAUAUAAGAUUCAAAUUAGCGGUUCUCAACGUGGGUGGUACCGCCCCCCCGGGGGGCGUUCAGAGUACGGCAGGGGGUGCUGGCAGAAUGUUUUACAAAAGGGGGGCGCUGGGAUUCCUUUGGGGGGCGUUUGGUCGAAGGUAAACUUUACACCUUAAA